UGGUGGAGCGAUUUGUCUGGUUAAUUCCGAUAACGAACGAGACUCUAUCCUAUUAAAUAGUUCGCCGAUUCUAUGUCGGUGCCAACUUCUUAGAGGGACAAGUGGCGUUUAGCCACGCGAGAUUGAGCAAUAACA
rnacentral:rRNA from 1 species